GCCUGCAGCUAUACCUUCCUUUACUAUGAUCUUAUUAGAUCUCAUAAAACCAAAGAAGACUAGGCUGAGUUGGAACUUGCAUGAAAACUGGUAAGAAACACCUGCAGCAGUGU
rnacentral:rRNA from 1 species